CACAGCAAAUGUUUUGCCCUUUGACAAGUUUUCAUAUCAAAAUACAUGUUAUUCUACACCUUUUUUUGGAUUUGGGAAGACCUUCAGCAGUUAAGAAUAUAAAACACAUAUUCAUUGUAUUAAAACAAAUCACUAUAAACAUCUGACCUAAAGAAGUAUAUCAUAAUGGCCUUUGCUUCAAACACACUUGGACAAAAACACACGUGUAAAAUGUAAUUCUGCCCUUCUGUGACCGCAGCUGUUCGGUUUUUAUAAACCUCUGUGGGCGUGGCACCCUCUCCAUUGAACUCCCACCUAUUGACUUUAGUGUUGUCUUUCACCGCCAGGACCUGUGCCUGGGGUGAAGAAGCAGAGCAAUGCUGACAGAGCCACGCCUGAGCAACAACACAAGCUGCGGCGCAAAACUAUGUUGCUGGAUCCAAGCAGCCUUCUAUGAAGGGGACUCGAGGACUGAGAGGGGACUCGAGGACUACUCCGUACACAUCUCUGGACCUGGUUUGUGACGGUGUUGAUCCAUGUGGAAGGGACAC